rnacentral:rRNA from 1 species
GGUUAAGUUAGAAAGGGCGCACGGUGGAUGCCUUGACACUAGGAGUCGAUGAAGGACGGGACUAACGCCGAUAUGCUUCGGGGAGCUGUAAGUAAGCUUUGAUCCGAAGAUUUCCGAAUGGGGAAACCCACCAUACGUAAUGGUAUGGUAUCCUUAUCUGAAUACAUAGGGUAAGGAAGACAGACCCAGGGAACUGAAACAUCUAAGUACCUGGAGGAAGAGAAAGCAAAUGCGAUUUCCUGAGUAGCGGCGAGCGAAACGGAACAUAGCCCAAACCAAGAGGCUUGCCUCUUGGGGUUGUAGGACAUUCUAUACGGAGUUACAAAGGAACGAGGUAGACGAAGCGACCUGGAAAGGUCCGUCGUAGAGGGUAACAACCCCGUAGUCGAAACUUCGUUCUCUCUUGAAUGUAUCCUGAGUACGGCGGAACACGUGAAAUUCCGUCGGAAUCUGGGAGGACCAUCUCCCAAGGCUAAAUACUCCCUAGUGAUCGAUAGUGAACCAGUACCGUGAGGGAAAGGUGAAAAGCACCCCGGAAGGGGAGUGAAAGAGAUCCUGAAACCGUGUGCCUACAAAUAGUCAGAGCCCGUUAA